CAUGCACCGGUGGGGUCCCUCGGCCUGGCCUGUGCCCUCUUACAAUCCGGGAUCCCUCAGGGAAUGUCGGAGAGCCAGUUUCAGCCUAAUCCUGCAGGCCAGGCUGAGGGACCCCACUGAUGCACG
rnacentral:pre_miRNA from 1 species